GAUGAAGAACGUAGCGAAAUGCGAUAAGUAAUGUGAAUUGCAGAAUUCAGUGAAUCAUCGAAUCUUUGAACGCACAUUGCGCCCCCCAGUAUUCUGGCGGGCAUGCCUGUUCGAGCGUCAUUUCAACCAUCAAGCCCUGCUUGUGUUGGGGUCCUGCGGCUGCCCGCAGGCCCUGAAAACCAGUGGCGGGCUCGCUAGUCACACCGAGCGCAGUAGCACAUCUCGCUCAGGGCGUGCGGCGGGCUCCAGCCGUUAAAGCACCCACCUUCGCAAGGUUGACCUCGGAUCAGGUAGGAAUACCCGCUGAACUUAAGCAUAUCAAUAAGCGGAGGA
rnacentral:misc_RNA from 1 species